AAAAAGACGUCAUUUUCAAGAUGGCGACGGCCUGUAGAACUGCAUUUGCGGGGGUAAAUGUUUUUCAAUCCUCGUUUUGUGCACCUGAACAGGGGUGCCCAGGAUUUCAAGCCGAGGAUGUGCUGCGAUCCAAAAUCCAGAAAGUGGACGUAACUGGUGUGUUUGGAAUGGCGUGCAGGCACAAGCAUCCGCUGAAGUUCCUGAACCUGAAGAGAUGAGAGAAGUUUGUGGAUGGUUGGAUGCUUCAGAUGUAUAGCUGAUGUAUUUUAUUUAUGUAUGACAUUGGCUAUGAUGACUGAUGUUGAACUGUCAUUUCAGGCUUGCAAAUGCUGUGUUCCUACUGGGGACCUGAAAGCAAUGCAGGGACCAAACAUCACAACGUUUCUUCACUAUGACAUUGCUUUCCAGCUGAAGCCUCAUUUACAGGAAGAAUUGAUAGGUCAAUCUAUGUCAGAAAAACAGUCCCGAUCUGAUUGUGGACACCACAUUUGCAGUGCCAGCUUUUCAACCCUAUGCUCAUAAUGCUAACUGUCAGGUCACUGAURGUACCAGGUAUGUGACUGGUUGUGCGCUUGCUGACAGAGAACAGAUGGAGAGGUUGUUGUUCUACCACCUUGGAAAAUUUGAAAGACCACAAAAGAGAUGACACCAUCUCAUCGUGUUGACACCCUCACCGAUGCCCUCUAUUACAUGGUCUGGGAGAAGCAAGGUAUCAAUGUAUAACAGGAAAUCAGUUAAGUAUUGCGAUGACACAUUGUUCAGGAUUCUUUUAAUAUAAUUUUGCGAAGAACAUGCUGAUCUAUUUGAAACAAUCUAUGAAAUGUAUGUUCACCUUCAUGUGUUAUAGCAACGGCAAUACAACUCUGUCAGCAGAAGGAGGAAACUGAGGCAAAGGAUGAGUUGUUGUGGCACUAGACAGCAUUCCAGGUUAGAUUCCAUGCGUUUUGCUCAUCAUUUUUGUUUAUAUGUAAUGAUCCUUUUCUGCUUAUUCAAUCAGAUGAAUUGGAAGCAGGGCUUCAGUAGCUGGAGGCAAGGCUUUCUCCUACAGAGCUCCUCUUUAUGGAAUGGUUUGCCGGUGUGAGAGAAUCAGACUCUCAACCUUCAAAUAUAGACUGAAGACUUCUCUUCUGUCAGUCCUAUGAUUGAGUGUAGUCUGGUCCAUUUGUGGGAAGGUGAACAGCAAGGCAGCACACUGUCGGACGUGGAAGUUUGGACCCGUAAGAUAAAGGAAACCCUCACAGACAAGAGGACGUUGUCCCUUACCUGGCAGGAGAGAGACGUGGAAACUCUGGCAGAGCAACAUCGAGUCGCAUGCACAAACUAUUGCUGUGCAGCUCUCCAGAAAAGUCAGGUGGACAUCGGAGAG